rnacentral:rRNA from 1 species
GACGAACCGUGCGAACGUUAAUCGGAUUCAUUGGGCUUAAAGGGCGCGUAGGCGGCGGCGUAAGUUCGUGGUGAAAUCCCAUCGGCUCAACCGUGGAAUUGCUUCGAAUACUGCGUCGCUCGAGGGAGAUAGGGGACCGCAGAACUGCCGGUGGAGCGGUGAAAUGUGUUGAUAUCGGCGGGAAUGCCAUUGCCGAAAGGGGCGGUCUGGACCUCUUCUGACGCUGAGGCGCGAAAGCUAGGGGAGCGAACGGG